rnacentral:rRNA from 1 species
GAUGAACGCUAGCUACAGGCUUAACACAUGCAAGUCGAGGGGCAGCACAAGGCAGCAAUGCUGAGGUGGCGACCGGCGCACGGGUGCGUAACGCGUAUCCAACCUUCCCGUUACUCUUGGAUAGCCUUCCGAAAGGGAGAUUAAUACAUGAUGGUGUUGAAAUUCCGCAUGUUAUUUCAACUAAAGAUUUAUCGGUAACGGAUGGGGAUGCGUGACAUUAGAUAGAUGGCGGGGUAACGGCCCACCAUGUCCACGAUGUCUAGGGGUUCUGAGAGGAAGGUCCCCCACACUGGAACUGAGACACGGUCCAGACUCCUACGGGAGGCAGCAGUGAGGAAUAUUGGUCAAUGGCCGGAAGGCUGAACCAGCCAAGUAGCGUGAAGGAUGAAGGUUCUAUGGAUUGUAAACUUCUUUUAUACGGGAAUAAAACCUCCCACGUGUGGGAGCUUGUAUGUACCGUAUGAAUAAGCAUCGGCUAACUCCGUGCCAGCCGCCGCGGUAAAAC